UACGUAGGUGGCGAGCGUUGUCCGGAUUUACUGGGCGUAAAGGGCUUGUAGGCGGUUCGUUAAGUCUGGUGUGAAAUCUCCCGGCCCAACUGGGAGGGGUCAUCGGAUACUGGCGGACUAGAGGUGGGCAGAGGAAAGCAGAAUUCCCGGUGUAGCGGUGAAAUGCGUAGAUAUCGGGAGGAGUACCAGUGGCGAAGGCGGCUUUCUGGGCCUAUCCUGACGCUGAGGAGCGAAAGCGUGGGGAGCAAACAGG
rnacentral:rRNA from 1 species